UAUCAGAAGUGCGAAUGCUGACAUAAGUAACGAUAAAGCGGGUGAAAAGCCCGCUCGCCGGAAGACCAAGGGUUCCUGUCCAACGUUAAUCGGGGCAGGGUGAGUCGACCCCUAAGGCGAGGCCGAAAGGCGUAGUCGAUGGGAAACAGGUUAAUAUUCCUGUACUUGGUGUUACUGCGAAGGGGGGACGGAGAAGGCUAUGUUAGCCGGGCGACGGUUGUCCCGGUUUAAGCAUGUAGGCUGGUUAUCCAGGCAAAUCCGGAUAAUCAAGGCUGAGGUGUGAUGACGAGGCACUACGGUGCUGAAGUAACAAAUGCCCUGCUUCCAGGAAAAGCCUCUAAGCAUCAGGUAACAUCAAAUCGUACCCCAAACCGACACAGGUGGUCAGGUAGAGAAUACCAAGGCGCUUGAGAGAACUCGGGUGAAGGAACUAGGCAAAAUGGUGCCGUAACUUCGGGAGAAGGCACGCUGGUGUGUAGGUGAAGUCCCUGCGGAUGGAGCUGAGACCAGUCGAAGAUACCAGCUGGCUGCAACUGUUUAUUAAAAACACAGCACUGUGCAAACACGAAAGUGGACGUAUACGGUGUGACGCCUGCCCGGUGCCGGAAGGUUAAUUGAUGGGGUUAUCCGUAAGGAGAAGCUCUUGAUCGAAGCCCCGGUAAACGGCGGCCGUAACUAUAACGGUCCUAAGGUAGCGAAAUUCCUUGUCGGGUAAGUUCCGACCUGCACGAAUGGCGUAAUGAUGGCCAGGCUGUCUCCACCCGAGACUCAGUGAAAUUGAACUCGCUGUGAAGAUGCAGUGUACCCGCGGCAAGACGGAAAGACCCCGUGAACCUUUACUAUAGCUUGACACUGAACAUUGAGCCUUGAUGUGUAGGAUAGGUGGGAGGCUUUGAAGCGUGGACGCCAGUCUGCGUGGAGCCAACCUUGAAAUACCACCCUUUAAUGUUUGAUGUUCUAACGUUGGCCCCUGACCGGGGUUGCGGACAGUGUCUGGUGGGUAGUUUGACUGGGGCGGUCUCCUCCCAAAGCGUAACGGAGGAGCACGAAGGUUAGCUAAUCCUGGUCGGACAUCAGGAGGUUAGUGCAAUGGCAUAAGCUAGCUUGACUGCGAGCGUGACGGCGCGAGCAGGUGCGAAAGCAGGUCAUAGUGAUCCGGUGGUUCUGAAUGGAAGGGCCAUCGCUCAACGGAUAAAAGGUACUCCGGGGAUAACAGGCUGAUACCGCCCAAGAGUUCAUAUCGACGGCGGUGUUUGGCACCUCGAUGUCGGCUCAUCACAUCCUGGGGCUGAAGUAGGUCCCAAGGGUAUGGCUGUUCGCCAUUUAAAGUGGUACGCGAGCUGGGUUUAGAACGUCGUGAGACAGUUCGGUCCCUAUCUGCCGUGGGCGCUGGAGAAUUGAGGGGGGCUGCUCCUAGUACGAGAGGACCGGAGUGGACGCAUCACUGGUGUUCGGGUUGUCAUGCCAAUGGCACUGCCCGGUAGCUAAAUGCGGAAGAGAUAAGUGCUGAAAGCAUCUAAGCACGAAACUUGCCCCGAGAUGAGUUCUCCCUGAGACUUUAAGUCUCCUGAAGGAACGUUAAAGACGAUGACGUUGAUAGGCCGGGUGUGUAAGCGCAGCGAUGCGUUGAGCUAACCGGUACUAAUGAACCGUGAGGCUUAACCUUACAACGCCGAAG
rnacentral:rRNA from 1 species